rnacentral:rRNA from 1 species
GCAGAGCAUCCUACGGGAGGCAGCAUGGGGGAAUAUUGCACAAUGGGCGCAAGCCUGAUGCAGCCAUGCCGCGUGUAUGAAGAAGGCCUUCGGGUNUAAAGGUACUUUCAGCAGUGAGGAAGUGGGUAUGUUAAUAGCAUACUCAUUUGACGUUAGCUGCAGAAGAAGCACCGGCUAACUCCGUGCCAGCAGCCGCGGUAAUACGAGGGUGCGAGCGUUAAUCGGAAUUACUGGGCGUAAAGCGCAUGCAGGUGGUUUGUUAAGUCAGAUGUGAAAGCCCGGGGCUCAACCUCGGAAUUGCAUUUGAAACUGGCAAACUAGAGUACUGUAGAGGGGGUAGAAUUUCAGGUGUAGCGGUGAAAUGCGUAGAGAUCUGAAGGAAUACCGGUGGCGAAGGCGGCCCCCUGGACAGAUACUGACACUCAGAUGCGAAAGCGUGGGGAGCAAACAGGAUUAGAUACCCUGGUAG